ensembl:lncRNA
AUGAAGAAACUGAGGCAAACAGAGGUCAAGUGUCUUGCUCUGAGCCACAUAGGUGAUGCAAAGGAACCUUACACUGAAGGAGAAUCAUCUGCUCCAGCUGUGAUAUCAGCUAUAGGUCCAGAUAUGGAGCUAGCAGUGAAGCUGGAUCUAGAACCAGUUCUGAUGCUAGAUGUGAAAUCUCUGGAGCCAGAGGCAAAACCAAUGAUAUCAGCUAUAAAACAACCGAGACCACUUAAGAAUCCAGCUAUGCCAUCAUUCUUGAAAGCCCUGGACUCAGGCUCAGAACCAAUCAUAAAGAAGCAAGCUACAACACCAUGUGGGAAGGGAAGACCACCUGUAACACAAACUACAAAAUCACAUCAGACACUGGUGGUGAUACCCACUCGAAAGAUACCUGGAGAGUCAACGUCUAUGAAAUCAACUCAGGGGCUAGGUGGGAGAGUGAUACUAAAACCCACUAGAGAAAUACCUGGAGUGUCAACCUCUAUGCAGUCAAUUGUGGGGUCAGGUGGGAGACUGGUGAUAAAACCCACUCGAGAGAUACCUGGAGAGUCAACAUCUACGAAGUCAAUGUCUAUGAAAACAACUCCUGAACCAAGUGGGGAACUGGGGCUAAAAUUCACUUUAGAGAUACCUGGAGAGCAAACGUCUAUUAAGCCAAAGGUGGGGCCAGGUGAGAGAGUGAAGCUAAAACCCACUGGAGAGUUACGUAGAGAGCCAACAUCUAUGAAACCAACUCAGAGGCCAAGUGGGACAGUGACGUUGAAACCCACACCAGAGCUACCUAAGGAGCCAACGUCUAUGAAACCAAUUAAAGAGCUAAACCUGCCUCUGGAAAACCAUGGGAAAUUGAAAGUAUUUGCAGAAAUAGAUAACUCUGUAUUCCAACUUAAACAAGUUGUAAGAGCACAACUUAUGAUGGUAGACACAUUAACAAAGAACAAUUCAAAGUCACAGUCAAACUCUUUGGCAACAGGGAAAUAUGAACCAUUGAAAAACCAAUUAGGGUAUAAAAAUAUGAUUGAAGAUCAAAUUUUGAAAAGUGUUUUAGAGACUAACAAGUUGAUAAAACAUGCUCUUGUGAAUACUAAACAGAACACUGAAUUAAAAAAUAAUGUGGAUUCUACUAAAGAAUCUCUAGUUCCAAACCUUUUUUCAGAAGCAGCAGAUUUAUCACAGAAGAAAUUAAAUAAACCACAGAAAAUAAGAGAAAGUGAUGAUAAUAAAGACAUUGCAUUGUUUAUUAAUUUUUUAUAUGAUAUUAAGGCAGAACUAAGUAUAUAUUUAAAUAUCAAUAAUAUUCCAUUAGAUAUUCGUGAUAAGGCUGCUACUUUAUUCACCAUUAUGGGAGAUAUAUUUUGUAAAAAUGAACAAAGAAGAAGAAUAAUUAAGAUAUUAUUAAAAGAUAAUUUAAGAAUGUUAAACAUACUUAACUCUCUAUUGCAUUAAUGACUAGGUUUUCAGUGACCUAUUCAUUUCUAAGAGAAACAUUUAAAUUUAUUCGCUAAAAUUUUAUAACUGGAUUUUGUAUUGUGUCUAUUAACAUCUAUAAUUUGUCAUGUAAUUUGAAAGAUUUCAAACAAAUAAUUAAAACAUACUAAUUUGAAUACAAUUUGUUUUUAGUAGAGUUUGUGAUGUCAUUUCCAUACCUCCCAAAUUUGUUGCCUUUUGUGUUUAAAAUAUUUCCUUUAUUUUAUGCAUGAGUAGAUUUGCUUAGUUUAAAAUAUACAUUUAUCUAGAUUAACAUUUUAUAAAUUUAUUUUAUAGAAAAGGCAUGUUUUGUGUGGAUUAUAUGUAUACACAUAUAU